rnacentral:snRNA from 1 species
GUGCUCGCUUCGGCAGCACAUAUACUACAAAAAAUUGGAACGAUACAGAGAAGAUUAGCAUGGCCCCUGCGCAAGGAUGACACACAAAUUCGUGAAGUGUUCCAUAAAAAA